rnacentral:rRNA from 1 species
CGAAGGAUGCAAGCGUUAUCCGGAUUCAUUGGGUUUAAAGGGAGCGUAGGUGGUCUUAUAAGUCAGUGGUGAAAUCCUGUCGCUUAACGAUAGAAUUGCCAUUGAUACUGUAGGACUUGAGUACAGUUGCCGUUGGCGGAAUAUGACAUGUAGUGGUGAAAUACAUAGAUAUGUCAUAGAACACCGAUUGCGAAGGCAGCUGACGAAACUGUAACUGACACUGAGGCUCGAAAGUGUGGGGAUCAAACAGGAUUAGAUACCCUGGUAGUCCACACUGUAAACGAUGAUUACUCGCUGCUGGAGGGCAACCUUCAGUGGCUUAGCAAAAGCGAUAAGUAAUCCACCUGGGGAGUACGCCGGCAACGGUG